UAGAAAUGGCAUGAGGAAUGAGUAAGAGAGAGAGAGAGAGAGAGAGAGAGAGAGAAGCAAUGGAGGAGCCAAGAUCGAUGGUCCCUCGGAUGAUUGGAUCCUCGGUCAACCGCCUAUCCACUAUCGGCACGCACCUAACCUUACAUAUGCGUUAUACCGCAGUCUCCAAGAUGGAUUUUUCGCAGAGACAUGGAUUAUGCGGUUUCGAUAUAUUACCUAGCUGGUAAUGAUUUUUUUUCGACACUGGGUAUGCAGCCACGAGCUAUACGAUCGCUUCGCCAAGAGGCACGCUCCGUGGUUGCCAACGGGCCAAUUAAUCCGAGCAAAUCUUUGCAAAAAGAGCUGGUGCCUCUAUCCUCGUACCUACGUUCAGCUAGUUAUCGCUGCCUGCUGGUGUUGCUUCACGACUGCCGUUUGCUCCCUGCAUCACCCUCUCCUUCGCGUUCCACUUUUCGCGGAUAAUUAUAACGGCCAGGUCCGGGAUGGUAACGUAGAAAUUCAAUGGUGCACAGACUUUAAAGGUGGCUUAGAUAGGUAAGCAGGUAAUGCUGAGGCAGAAGCUUAGGAAUUCGAGCGAAAUCAGAUUGAUCAGAGGUACCCUGCGAUUUCUGAAUCGAAACAUCGUAGAUCCGGUGAGUGAUCCGAGGGGUCUUCUUUGUAUGGAAAUAUCGUAAAAGGGAGACCCCCCAUGAACUCUAGUGCUUUAGACUCUGAAGACUGAGACCUUAAAGGGGAUAUAUUUAAGUUUUGAGCUUCCAGCCUGAUCCUCUCAUUUCUGACAUUAAGGAAUUUCCGUGUAGUCGUGUAUUUAGACACUGUUACCAAUACCGGUACUACUAUUACCACCAUCACCGCCAUCACCACCACUUAUACACUUGGUCGGACUUCUGGCUUUGCGUGAAUUCCACCACGUUGAUUUGAACAGCGCCGCCAGCAGCAACGAGACGCCGAAUUCUCACGCUCCUGUUUACGCGUCCCCAUUAAUGAGAGAGGUGCGGGUCACGUGGACUUGGUUGAAUUAAAAUAUUAAUUAAA